AACGAACGCUGGCGGCAUGCCUAACACAUGCAAGUCGAACGAGACCUUCGGGUCUAGUGGCGAACGGGUGCGUAACGCGUGGGAACCUGCCCUUAGGUUCGGAAUAACUCCCCGAAAGGGGUGCUAAUACCGGAUAAUGUCUUCGGACCAAAGAUUUAUCGCCUUUGGAUGGGCCCGCGUUGGAUUAGCUAGUUGGUAGGGUAAAAGCCUACCAAGGCGACGAUUCAUAGCUGGUCUGAGAGGAUGAUCAGCCACACUGGGACUGAGACACGGCCCAGACUCCUACGGGAGGCAGCAGUGGGGAAUAUUGGACAAUGGGCGAAAGCCUGAUCCAGCAAUGCCGCGUGAGUGAUGAAGGCCUUAGGGUUGUAAAGCUCUUUUACCCGGGAUGAUAAUGACAGUACCGGGAGAAUAAGCUCCGGCUAACUCCGUG
rnacentral:rRNA from 1 species